AUGUUCGAAUUUUUUUUUUUAUUGUAAGUGUUUUGUGACAUUUUCAAUUCGCAUUCUGGCAUCCCUGGUAAAAAAACCGUUAGUCUUAAGAUCUUCAUAGUGUCUUUCGAUUUUAUUUUGUUAAAGUUAUAGGUUAUAGAGUUGGUUAGUCUCCCCAAUGUUAUUGCAAACGAUUGCUUUUUUACCAGAUAUUUUAAUUAUAAGCGACUUAUUUCACUUUUAUCACUCACGACGUCAUCAACUGGAUAACUUUUACGUCAGACCCGAUAUAACUUGACUCUACAGUCUACAUUUAGAGAGUGAAUCAUUUUUAUUGUUAUUCUGGCACAUCAUUUUGGAACAAAGU